rnacentral:lncRNA from 1 species
UCCCUUUUCGUAGUCUCUGACUCUCUGUUACUUCUCUGGUUCUACAUCUCAGAACCCUUAACACUCAUCUCUGGUUCUCCGGAAGCCUUUCUUUCAGAAUACUUUUCAUCGAGUUGUUCUGCAUAAUGUCAAGCCUAUGAAUGUGACGCGUGUACUACGUCUUCGAUUUCCUUUCCAUCGUCAUGUUUCUUUUGGUCAUAGUCUGCGCCGUGGUAUCUCUGGUGAUGACGUACAUGCACCUAUGUGUGGAGAGAGCUUCAAUCUAUCCGGAAUGGGUUGCUCCAAGUCCAUCCCAAAUGCAACGCUCUCGUCGUAUCGACCAAGAUCAUAACCCCGAAUUGGUACGCCGAGAAUAAACACGCGCACGAUGUUGAUCUCGUCGUAUAUUACAGAUUAAUGCACUUGAUCCGAACACUUAGGACGACAGAGCCUGCCGUCUGCCGAUGCAUGAACAACUUAAAUCCGACAAUCCUCCCAUGGUUGGAAUAGCUCAAAUUCAUCAUACCCUUCAUCAUCCGCAACGUAACGAAACAAAGAUCGAUUAUAAAACUGUAAAUCCCAUACUUCAAGAAAGCAUUCGACCACUACUGCAUCCAAGCCGGCUGGAGAGCAGCAAUCGGAGAGCAGAGAUGAUGGUCCGUAAUAUACUACUAUAAAGAUGAAGAUCGGACGGUGGAAACACGGGGUCCGUAUUGGACCGUAUGGGAAUAGUCCGAAGCCCACUCGAAAAAAUAUAUAGUCCAAUGGAUUUCCCCCUCUCUUCCUUCUAUCUUUUCAAACAUAUCAUCCUAUCAGUUAGACCUGUCAAUGGAUAUUCGAAAUUCGUAUUCGAAUUCGUUUAUGCUUAAUCGAAUUCGGAUGAGAAUUCAGAUAUUUAAAAUACUAUCGAUGCUAAAUAAAUUUGAAUUCGAAUACUCCUAAACGAAUUCGGAUAAAUAUAUAAAUAUAGAGUGAGCUUCAUGUGCACCGUACUUCAAUGCGCCAAAUUAAUCCUGUCUGUUAGAUCGAUUUUUCGUCGUACAUGAGUUAAUAUCUUUUGUUGUAUAUUAUUUUGCGUCGUAUAUGUGUUAGUGUCUUUUGCAAUAUACUAUUUUAGCUAUUAGAUUAAAUAUUAAUUGACAGGAUUUGAUGACACACGACGAUGCAUUGAAAUAUGAGAUACCUGAAUAUUUUCCUAUAAAUAUAUAAUAAUUUUAUAUUUUUUUACCUUUUAUAAUAUAAUGUAAUAUAUAUUGUUUUGGAUUUAUAUAUUAAAAUGUUAUGUUUAAAAUAUUAUAAGGGUUUUUAUUAAAAAGACAAGUAAAAUAUUAUUCUUUUAUUUUUUUUGUAAAUGUUAUUCGAACCGAAUUCCGGAUAUCUGUAUUCGGAUAUUUUAAUCGAAUUCGGAUAUGGAAUUUGAAAUUCGAAUAAUAAUUGAACGAAUUCGAAAUAUCCGAAUACUAAACGAAUUCCAAUUGAAAUUCGAAAUAUAAAAGGUCAUAGUUAUAAAAUUCCUCUUCCUCGGUAAUCAGUAUUAGUACAUAAAAUAUUGAAAUUAACUCGAUUAACUCAAUUGAUAAUUGUCAUUAAGUUGCUCAAUACACUCCAAGAAUCUUAUGCAAUUUAAUUUUUAUAUAUAAAAAAAAAAUUACCGUCUUUAGUUGAUAAAUACCUCUCAUACAGUCAUACUCCCUCGCCGCAAAAGUAAACUCCUCUCCUAGCCCUUACUUACUACCCAAUCA